GAUGAACGCUGGCGGCGUGCUUAACACAUGCAAGUCGAACGGGGUGCCUUUGAAAGAGGAUUCGUCCAAUUGAGAAGGUUACCUAGUGGCGGACGGGUGAGUAACGCGUGAGUAACCUGCCUUGGAGUGGGGAAUAACACAUCGAAAGAUGUGCUAAUACCGCAUAAUGCAGUUGGGCCGCAUGGCUCUGACUGCCAAAGAUUUAUCGCUCUGAGAUGGACUCGCGUCUGAUUAGCUGGUUGGCGGGGUAACGGCCCACCAAGGCGACGAUCAGUAGCCGGACUGAGAGGUUGACCGGCCACAUUGGGACUGAGACACGGCCCAG
rnacentral:rRNA from 1 species